UACAGAGACUGCAAGCGUUAUUCGGAUUCACUGGGCGUAAAGGAUGCGCAGGCGGCCAUGUGUGUUGGGUGUGAAAGCCCGGGGCUUAACCCCGGAAUUGCACUCAAAACUAUAUGGCUAGAGCAUUGGAGAGGGUAGCAGAAUUCAUGGUGUAGCAGUGAAAUGCGUAGAUAUCAUGAGGAAUACCAGAGGCGAAGGCGGCUACCUGGACAAUUGCUGACGCUCAGGCACGAAAGCGUGGGGAGCAAAAGGG
rnacentral:rRNA from 1 species